AAGCUUGCCAAUGAAUCUGCUCACCUGAAAGUGUUUCUGUAGAAAUUAUUUAAAAGCUGGCAAUAAGUAAAGCCAUGUUACGGGCCUUAAGGACAUCAAAGUCUUUUAUGGUCCCUGGAAAUGGCUAUGACA
rnacentral:snoRNA from 1 species